rnacentral:rRNA from 1 species
CAAGUAGCUGGUUCCCUCCGAAGUUUCCCUCAGGAUAGCUGGAACUUAAGAAAAAGUAGUUUUAUCAGGUAAAGCGAAUGAUUAGAGGCUUUGGGGAAGAAACUUCCUCGACCUAUUCUCAAACUUUAAAUAGGUAAGAUUUGAAGGAUACUUAAGUGAUCUUUCAAUCUUUUGAAUAUAAAGUUCUUAGUGGGCCAUUUUUGGUAAGCAGAACUGGCGAUGUGGGAUGAACCGAACGUUAAGUUAAAGUGCCAAAUAAUACGCUCAUGAGAUACCAUAAAAGGUGUUGGUUCAUUUUGACAGCAGGACGGUGGCCAUGGAAGUCGGAACCCGCUAAGGAGUGUGUAACAACUCACCUGCCGAAUGAACUAGCCCUGAAAAUGGAUGGCGCUUAAGCGUAUAACUUAUACUUAACCCUUACUUGAAUCAUAAUAGCGAGUAAGGAGUAGGAGGGCG